UGGGGUGUAGUUCAAUUGGUAGAACGUCCGGUUCUGAUCCGGAAAGUUGUGGGUUCGAUUCCUACCACCCCAG
rnacentral:tRNA from 1 species